rnacentral:rRNA from 12 species
CGUAAGCCCAUGCCGGUCGAAGAUACCAGGCCGCUGCGACUGUUUAUUAAAAACACAGCACUCUGCAAACACGAAAGUGGACGUAUAGGGUGUGACGCCUGCCCGGUGCUGGAAGAUUAAAUGAUGGGGUGCAAGCUCUUGAUUGAAGUCCCAGUAAACGGCGGCCGUAACAAUAACGGUCCUAAGGUAGCGAAAUUCCUUGUCGGGUAAGUUCCGACCCGCACGAAAGGCGUAAUGAUUUGGAUACUGUCUCGGAGAGGGGCUCGGUGAAAUAGACUUGUCUGUGAAGAUGCGGACUACCUGCACCAGGACAGAAAGACCCUAUGAAGCUUUACUGUAACUUGAAAUUGAAAUUGGACUUUAUUCGCGCAGUAUAGGUGGGAGGUGUUGAUUAUAAUCUUGCGGGAUUAUUGGAGCCAUCAGUGAGAUACCACUCUUGUAAUGUUAGAUUUCUAACUUUGAAUCAUUAUCUGGUCAAAGAACAGUUUCAGGCGGGCAGUUUGACUGGGGCGGUCGCCUCCCAAAUGGUAACGGAGGCGUACAAAGGUUUCCUCUGAACGGGUAGAAAUCGUAUCUAGAGUGUAAAGGCAUAAGGAAGCUUGACUGUGAGACCUACAAGUCGAGCAGGGACGAAAGUCGGUCUUAGUGAUCUGACGGUACUGAGUGGAAAGGCCGUCACUCAACGGAUAAAAGUUACUCUAAGGAUAACAGGCUGAUCUCCCCCAAGAGUUCACAUCGACGGGGAGGUUUGGCACCUCGAUGUCGGCUCAUCGCAUCCUGGGGCGGUAGUACGUCCCAAGGGUUGGGCUGUUCGCCCAUGAAAGCGGUACGCGAGCUGGGUUCAGAACGUCGUGAGACAGUUCGGUCCAUAUCCGGUGUAGGCGUUAGAAUAUUGAGAGGAGCCUUCUUUAGUACGAGAGGACCGAGAAGGACAUACCUCUGGUGUACCAGUUAUCGUGCCAACGGUAAACGCUGGGUAGCUAUGUAUGGAGUGGAUAACCGCUGAAAGCAUCUAAGUGGGAAGCCCACCUCAAGAUAAGUAUUCUCAUCACGUAAGUGAGUAAGGUCACGGUAAGACUAACCGUUUGAUAGGCAUUAAGUGUAAGUACAGUAAUGUAUGUGCUGAGAUGUCCUAAUAGACCGAGGACUUG